rnacentral:rRNA from 1 species
GAUGAACGCUGGCGGCGUGCUUAACACAUGCAAGUCGAACGAGAAGUGAAGACGGAAACCUUCGGGCGGAAGGCUUUAUUUCGAGUGGCGGACGGGUGAGUAACGCGUGGGUAACCUGCCUCAUACAGGGGGAUAACAGUUGGAAACGACUGUUAAUACCGCAUAAGACCACAGCACCGCAUGGUGCGGGGGUAAAAACUCCGGUGGUAUGAGAUGGACCCGCGUUCGAUUAGCCAGUUGGCGGGGUAACGGCCCACCAAAGCGACGAUCGAUAGCCGAUCUGAGAGGAUGACCGGCCACAUUGGGACUGAGACACGGCCCAAACUCCUACGGGAGGCAGCAGUGAGGAAUAUUGCACAAUGGGGGAAACCCUGAUGCAGCGACGCCGCGUGAGUGAAGAAGUAUUUCGGUAUGUAAAGCUCUAUCAGCAGGGAAGAAAAUGACGGUACCUGAGUAAGAAGCCCCGGCUAACUACGUG